rnacentral:rRNA from 1 species
GUACGUAGGGACCGAGCGUUGUCCGGAUUCAUUGGGCGUAAAGAGCUCGUAGGCGGCUGUUCAAGUCGAAACGUGAAAACUCGGAGCUCAACUCCGAGCCUGCGUUCGAUACUGGAUGGGCUAGAGUCUGGUAGGGGGGACUGGAAUUCCAGGUGUAGCGGUGAAAAUGCGUAGAUAUCUGGAGGAACACCGGUGGCGAAGGCGGCAUCCUGGACCGGCAUUGACGCUGAGGCGGCGAAAAGCCAGGGGGAGCAAACGGG